GUGCUUGCUUCGGCAGCACAUACACUAAAAUUGGAAUGAUACAAAGAAGAUUAGCAUGACCCCUGCACGAGGAUGACACGCAAAUUUGUGAAGUGGUCCAUAUUUUU